UGCGUAGGUGGCCUGACAAGUCAGGGGUCAAAGGCAACGGCUCAACCGUUGUAAGCCCUUGAAACUGUCGGGCUUGAGUUCAGGAGAGGAAAGCGGAAUUCCUAGUGUAGCGGUGAAAUGCGUAGAUAUUAGGAGGAACACCAGUGGCGAAGGCGGCUUUCUGGACUGAUGCUGACACUGAGGCACGAAAGCGUGGGGAGCAAACA
rnacentral:rRNA from 1 species